UGCCACCACCACAUAUGUUAGCCUGCUGGAGGACGACAGCCAGCCAACCUCCAGACAUCUUCUUGACAGCAAGUAAUGUGCUUCACUCAUCUUUGCACACCAACCACAGAACCCAAUAUCCUCCACAUAAUAAAUUCCCAAUGUGAUUGAUAAAUUCAACUGUGGAUUAUGUUAGACCAGACACCAGCUGCUGAUAAACUGUCUCUGACUUGGACAUCUCAGUGGCUGUGUAGAGAGAGCAGCCUUGCUGAGGAGGCGUUGAGAAAAGAAAAAGAAAACUUUACCAUCUCUGAAACUUUUAAUGAAUUUAAGGGGAAAAUUAUACAUCUCAACAGAAAGCGCUUACCCUCUCUGAACCAUGUUCCUCCUGUGGUCACAAGAGGCUCAUUAGGCUGGCCUUAAAAACAGCAGUUGGGACAACGAGAAAGCUCCACAGAAAAUCAUGAUGAGCAGUGUUCAUUAUCUAUUCAUGAGCACCUUUCUUGCAUAUUUAGCAUUUGCAAAAUAUUGGAUGUCAUCAGCAUAUGGGAGUCCAGGAGAAAUCUCACCUUCUUGCAAAGACAAAAAUGGAAACGGCUGAGUCUUUCUACCCAGUUGAGGGAACCCAAUCUGAACAUGACGCCUAGUUGUUCUUUGACUCAGUUUAAAUGAUGU
rnacentral:lncRNA from 10 species